AUUGAACGCUGGCGGCAGGCUUAACACAUGCAAGUCGAGCGGAGAUGAGGUGCUUGCACCUUAUCUUAGCGGCGGACGGGUGAGUAAUGCUUAGGAAUCUGCCUAUUAGUGGGGGACAACAUUCCGAAAGGAAUGCUAAUACCGCAUACGUCCUACGGGAGAAAGCAGGGGAUCUUCGGACCUUGCGCUAAUAGAUGAGCCUAAGUCGGAUUAGCUAGUUGGUGGGGUAAAGGCCUACCAAGGCGACGAUCUGUAGCGGGUCUGAGAGGAUGAUCCGCCACACUGGGACUGAGACACGGCCCAGACUGCUACGGGAGGCAGCAGUGGGGAAUAUUGGACAAUGGGGGAACCCUGAUCCAGCCAUGCCGCGUGUGUGAAGAAGGCCUUAUGGUUGUAAAGCACUUUAAGCGAGGAGGAGGCUACUGAGACUAAUACUCUUGGAUAGUGGACGUUACUCGCAGAAUAAGCACCGGCUAACUCUGUGCCAGCCGCCGCAGUAACAC
rnacentral:rRNA from 1 species